CUCGUGUGGGCAGAGAGCAGGGUGCUGGGGGAAAGUGGGAUUGGUCUUCUUGAGCCCUGGGGAGGGCGUGGGGGGAUGGAACCCACAGCUCUGGCCCUCACGGAGCCCUUCUUAUGAGGAGGGAGAUGGGACUUGGCUGCCCAGGGAAUGUCAGCAGGGGAUCUUUUGGCUCCAGCAAUUGAUUCCCAUAUAAAGCCCCUCGACUUUGUCUAAGACAAGCCUGCAUGAGUCAAGGAAAGAAAGGCGACAAAUAGAAUUUGAACCCCGCACCUCCUCUUCCCUCUUUCAGGGGAAGACUUGGUGCAAAGAGGGAGGAGGAGCCGCUCAGGCCAGGCUCAGCCCCACGUUUCCGGAGAGCCCUAGUGCCUGGAGGGCCAAGAGGCCGAACACAGCCCACCUGCUAGAUCAGCAGCAUAUGGUCCCCAGCUUCUGCUUCUCCACGGUAGUGGAGGGAAUGGGCACAUGGAUUUUAAAAAUAAAACAAACCCCAAAACUGAAAUUCCACAUCCAUUAAACAAAAACUCCCCAUUUUCUACCCCUCACCUGGUCUCUGGCUCCAGCAUGCUGCUUUCUGUUUCUAUGAAUCGACUGCUUUAGAUAUCUCAUGUAAGUGGAGUUAUACAGUAUUAUCUUUUUUGGUGACUGCCUUAUGUCACUUAACAUAAUGUCUCCAAGGUUCAUUCAUAUAUAACAUGUGACAAGAUUUCUUUCCUUUUUGUUAUUGAGUUUUGUAUUGAUUUUAUAUUCAGAAACUUUGCUAAAUUUGUAUUAUUUCUAAUAAUUUAGAAUCUUUUGGGUUUUCUUUAGAGCCAAUUAUUUCAAUCUGCAAAUCAAAAUUUCCCUUUUUCUUUUAUAAUACAUAUGACUUUUAUUUAUUUUUCUUUCCUAUUGCUUUGGCAAGGACCUCUUGUAUUUUGUUAGUACCUUGUUAAAUAGCAGUGUUGGUGGACACACCUUUUUGUUUCUAAUCUUAAAAGAAAUACUUUCAAAUGCUACACCAUUAAAUGUGAUAUUUACUGUAGUUUUUUUUUUAAAGAAUCUUUAAUAAGAAAUUAAAGUUCUCUUUAUUCUG